rnacentral:rRNA from 3 species
GAUUCGUCACACUAUCAUUAACUGAAUCCAUAGGUUAAUGAGGCGAACCGGGGGAACUGAAACAUCUAAGUACCCCGAGGAAAAGAAAUCAACCGAGAUUCCCCCAGUAGCGGCGAGCGAACGGGGAGGAGCCCAGAGCCUGAAUCAGCAUGUGUGUUAGUGGAAGCGUCUGGAAAGGCGCGCGAUACAGGGUGACAGCCCCGUACACAAAAGCGCAUGUGCUGUGAGCUCGAUGAGUAGGGCGGGACACGUGGUAUCCUGUCUGAAUAUGGGGGGACCAUCCUCCAAGGCUAAAUACUCCUGACUGACCGAUAGUGAACCAGUACCGUGAGGGAAAGGCGAAAAGAACCCCGGCGAGGGGAGUGAAAAAGAACCUGAAACCGUGUACGUACAAGCAGUGGGAGCACCCUUCGGGGUGUGACUG